UUUUCAUUAAUCAAGGACGAAAGUUAGAGGUUCGAAGGCGAUCAGAUACCGCCCUAGUUCUAACCGUAAACGAUGCCAACUGGCCAUUCGCCGGUGUUAAUAAUCGACUCGGCGGGCAGCUUCCGGGAAACCAAAGUGUUCUGGUUCCGGGGGAAGUAUGGUUGCAAAGCUUAAACUUAAAGGAAUUGACGGAAGGGCACCACCAGGAGUGGAGCCUGCGGCUUAAUUUGACUCAACACGGGAAAACUCACCCGGCCAAGACACAAUAAGGAUUGACAGAUUGAUAGCUCUUUCUCGAUUUUGUGGGUGGUGGUGCAUGGCCGUUCUUAGUUGGUGGAGCGAUUUGUCUGGUUAAUUCCGAUAACGAACGAGACUCUAGCCUAUUAAAUAGACGCAAUAUUUUUCUAUUGUAUUCGCGUUCUUCUUAGAGGGACAAGCAGCUUCUAGCUGCACGAGAUUGAGCAAUAACAGGUCUGUGAUGCCCUUAGAUGUCCGGGGCUGCACGCGCGCUACACUGAAAAUAACAGUGUGCGUCUGAAACCAUGUCUGAAAAGACUUGGUAAACACGAAUUAUUUCCGUGCUUGGGAUAGGGGAUUGAAAUUAUUUCCCUUGAACGAGGAAUUUCUAGUAAGUGCGAGUCAUAAGCUCGCGCUGAUUACGUCCCUGCCCUUUGUACACACCGCCCGUCGCUACUACAGAUUGGAAGAUUCAAUGAGAAAUUUGGAGCGAAUUCGAAGUGAUGUCAAAGUCGCUACGAUAUUUGCAAAGAUUUUCAAAUUGUAGCUUCUAGAUGAAGUAAAAGUCGUAACAAGGUUUC
rnacentral:rRNA from 1 species